UGCGAACUCCUACGGGAGGCAGCAGUGGGGAAUAUUGCACAAUGGGGGGAACCCUGAUGCAGCCAUGCCGCGUGAAUGAAGAAGGCCUUCGGGUUGUAAAGUUCUUUCGGUGACGAGGAAGGUUGAUAGGUUAAUAGCCUAUCAAAUUGACGUUAAUCACAGAAGAAGCACCGGCUAACUCCGUGCCAGCAGCCGCGGUAAUACGGGGGGUGCGAGCGUUAAUCGGAAUAACUGGGCGUAAAGGGCACGCAGGCGGUGACUUAAGUGAGAUGUGAAAGCCCCGAGCUUAACUUGGGAAUUGCAUUUCAUACUGGGUCGCUAGAGUACUUUAGGGAGGGGUAGAAUUCCACGUGUAGCGGUGAAAUGCGUAGAUAUGUGGAGGAAUACCGAAGGCGAAGGCAGCCCCUUGGGAAUGUACUGACGCUCAUGUGCGAAAGCGUGGGGAGCAAACAGGAUUAGAAACCCCGGUAGUCCAGAAGUG
rnacentral:rRNA from 1 species